rnacentral:rRNA from 1 species
GACGAACGCUGGCGGCGUGCUUAACACAUGCAAGUCGAACGGAAAGGCCCUGCUUUUGUGGGGUGCUCGAGUGGCGAACGGGUGAGUAACACGUGAGUAACCUGCCCUUGACUUUGGGAUAACUUCAGGAAACUGGGGCUAAUACCGGAUAGGAGCUCCUGCUGCAUGGUGGGGGUUGGAAAGUUUCGGCGGUUGGGGAUGGACUCGCGGCUUAUCAGCUUGUUGGUGGGGUAGUGGCUUACCAAGGCUUUGACGGGUAGCCGGCCUGAGAGGGUGACCGGGCACAUUGGGACUGAGAGACGGCCCAGACGCCUACGGGAGGCAGCAGUGGGGAAUAUUGCACAAUGGGCGGAAGCCUGAGGCAGCAACGCCGCGUGCGGGAUGACGGCCUUCGGGGUGUAAACCGCUUUCGCCUGUGACGAAGCGUGAGUGACGGUAAUGGGUAAAGAAGCACCGGCUAACUACGUG